CGGCGCGAUGCAGCGCGACAAGGGUGGGCGGCGACGGGCUGGCUCGGGGCAGCGGCGCCGGCGGCGGAGUCGAGAGGGGAGAGAGAGAGUCGAGAGAGACAGGGAGGACGAACAAAACUAGGGCUUCUAGUUUUGGGGGGUUAAUUUCUAAAUUUCCUAAAUUUUUUUCUUUUUUUAUUUUUUUCACUUUUAAUAUUCAAUUUUUGGUAUUUAGAUUUCUAAUUUAGAUUUUUAAUUUAGAUUUUAUAUAAGUGUUAAUAAAAUAAAAAAAUGUUAUGAAUUUUUUAUUUUUCAAAGUCUAUAUCUAGGAAU
rnacentral:lncRNA from 1 species